rnacentral:rRNA from 1 species
CCAGUACCGUGAGGGAAAGGCGAAAAGAACCCCGGCGAGGGGAGUGAAAAAGAACCUGAAACCGUGUACGUACAAGCAGUGGGAGCCUCUUUUAUGGGGUGACUGCGUACCUUUUGUAUAAUGGGUCAGCGACUUAUAUUCUGUAGCAAGGUUAACCGAAUAGGGGAGCCGAAGGGAAACCGAGUCUUAACUGGGCGUUAAGUUGCAGGGUAUAGACCCGAAACCCGGUGAUCUAGCCAUGGGCAGGUUGAAGGUUGGGUAACACUAACUGGAGGACCGAACCGACUAAUGUUGAAAAAUUAGCGGAUGACUUGUGGCUGGGGGUGAAAGGCCAAUCAAACCGGGAGAUAGCUGGUUCUCCCCGAAAGCUAUUUAGGUAGCGCCUCGUGAAUUCAUCUCCGGGGGUAGAGCACUGUUUCGGCAAGGGGGUCAUCCCGACUUACCAACCCGAUGCAAACUGCGAAUACCGGAGAAUGUUAUCACGGGAGACACACGGCGGGUGCUAACGUCCGUCGUGAAGAGGGAAACAACCCAGACCGCCAGCUAAGGUCCCAAAGUCAUGGUUAAGUGGGAAACGAUGUGGGAAGGCCCAGACAGCCAGGAUGUUGGCUUAGAAGCAGCCAUCAUUUAAAGAAAGCGUAAUAGCUCACUGGUCGAGUCGGCCUGCGCGGAAGAUGUAACGGGGCUAAACCAUGCACCGAAGCUGCGGCAGCGACACUGUGUGUUGUUGGGUAGGGGAGCGUUCUGUAAGCCUGUGAAGGUGUGCUGUGAGGUAUGCUGGAGGUAUCAGAAGUGCGAAUGCUGACAUAAGUAACGAUAAAGCGGGUGAAAAGCCCGCUCGCCGGAAGACCAAGGGUUCCUGUCCAACGUUAAUCGGGGCAGGGUGAGUCGACCCCUAAGGCGAGGCCGAAAGGCGUAGUCGAUGGGAAACAGGUUAAUAUUCCUGUACUUGGUGUUACUGCGAAGGGGGGACGGAGAAGGCUAUGUUGGCCGGGCGACGGUUGUCCCGGUUUAAGCGUGUAGGCUGGUUUUCCAGGCAAAUCCGGAAAAUCAAGGCUGAGGCGUGAUGACGAGGCACUACGGUGCUGAAGCAACAAAUGCCCUGCUUCCAGGAAAAGCCUCUAAGCAUCAGGUAACAUCAAAUCGUACCCCAAACCGACACAGGUGGUCAGGUAGAGAAUACCAAGGCGCUUGAGAGAACUCGGGUGAAGGAACUAGGCAAAAUGGUGCCGUAACUUCGGGAGAAGGCACGCUGAUAUGUAGGUGAAGUCCCUUGCGGAUGGAGCUGAAAUCAGUCGAAGAUACCAGCUGGCUGCAACUGUUUAUUAAAAACACAGCACUGUGCAAACACGAAAGUGGACGUAUACGGUGUGACGCCUGCCCGGUGCCGGAAGGUUAAUUGAUGGGGUCAGCGCAAGCGAAGCUCUUGAUCGAAGCCCCGGUAAACGGCGGCCGUAACUAUAACGGUCCUAAGGUAGCGAAAUUCCUUGUCGGGUAAGUUCCGACCUGCACGAAUGGCGUAAUGAUGGCCAGGCUGUCUCCACCCGAGACUCAGUGAAAUUGAACUCGCUGUGAAGAUGCAGUGUACCCGCGGCAAGACGGAAAGACCCCGUGAACCUUUACUAUAGCUUGACACUGAACAUUGAGCCUUGAUGUGUAGGAUAGGUGGGAGGCUUAGAAGUGUGGACGCCAGUCUGCAUGGAGCCGACCUUGAAAUACCACCCUUUAAUGUUUGAUGUUCUAACGUUGACCCGUGAUCCGGGUUGCGGACAGUGUCUGGUGGGUAGUUUGACUGGGGCGGUCUCCUCCUAAAGAGUAACGGAGGAGCACGAAGGUUGGCUAAUCCUGGUCGGACAUCAGGAGGUUAGUGCAAUGGCAUAAGCCAGCUUGACUGCGAGCGUGACGGCGCGAGCAGGUGCGAAAGCAGGUCAUAGUGAUCCGGUGGUUCUGAAUGGAAGGGCCAUCGCUCAACGGAUAAAAGGUACUCCGGGGAUAACAGGCUGAUACCGCCCAAGAGUUCAUAUCGACGGCGGUGUUUGGCACCUCGAUGUCGGCUCAUCACAUCCUGGGGCUGAAGUAGGUCCCAAGGGUAUGGCUGUUCGCCAUUUAAAGUGGUACGCGAGCUGGGUUUAGAACGUCGUGAGACAGUUCGGUCCCUAUCUGCCGUGGGCGCUGGAGAACUGAGGGGGGCUGCUCCUAGUACGAGAGGACCGGAGUGGACGCAUCACUGGUGUUCGGGUUGUCAUGCCAAUGGCACUGCCCGGUAGCUAAAUGCGGAAGAGAUAAGUGCUGAAAGCAUCUAAGCACGAAACUUGCCCCGAGAUGAGUUCUCCCUGACCCUUUAAGGGUCCUGAAGGAACGUUGAAGACGACGACGUUGAUAGGCCGGGUGUGUAAGCGCAGCGAUGCGUUGAGCUAACCGGUACUAAUGAACCGUGAGGCUUAACCUU